UACCAGCACCCCGAGUGGUCGGGACGUUUAUUGGGCCUAAAGCAUCCGUAGCCGGUUCUACAAGUCUUCCGUUAAAUCCACCUGCUUAACAGAUGGGCUGCGGAAGAUACUAUAGAGCUAGGAGGCGGGAGAGGCAAGCGGUAUUCGAUGGGUAGGGGUAAAAUCCGUUGAUCCAUUGAAGACCACCAGUGGCGAAGGCGGCUUGCCAGAACGCGCUCGACGGUGAGGGAUGAAAGCUGGGGGAGCAAACCGG
rnacentral:rRNA from 1 species